rnacentral:lncRNA from 1 species
CUAUGAAAAGUUGAUUCCUCAUCAAAAGUGGGCAAUCUAUGAGAUCAAACAUUCAGACUCUAGUUCUAAGGCUGACUUGAACUUGAUAGCAUAAAAAUUAGAAAAAAUCAAUCUUCUUGUCCAGAGUUAGAUCAAGUCCUAACACUAGAUUAACAAUCUCCUGUAUAAUACACAUCACCUUCUAAUUAUCAAGAGAUUUAUUCUAUUUGUGCUAGCCCAACUUAUCAUGUGACUGAAUGUCCCAUGCUGCAUAGUUUUCACCUAUCAUCCAAGAGAGAGAGAGGCA